GCCAAUGUGGUAUAGUGGUUUAAGCAUUGGACUAGAACUCUAGAGACCAGGGUUCAAAUCCCAGCUCAGCCA